UCCCUAUGGGGUGCAGCAGUCGCGAAAACUCCGCAAUACACGAAAGUGUGACGGGGCCAUCCCGAGUGCCGUCCGCUGAGGAUGGCUUUUCCUCGGUGUAACUAGCCGGGGGAAUAAGGAGAGGGCAAGACUGGUGUCAGCCGCCGCGGUAAUACCAGCUCUCCGAGUUGUAGGGACGAUUAUUGGGCUUAAAGCGUCCGUAGCCGGCUUAGCAAGUCUCCUGUUAAAUUCAGCGACCUAAUCGUUGAGCCGCGGGAGAUACUACUAGGCUAGGAGGCGGGAGAGGUCGACGGUACUUUCGGGGUAGGGGUGAAAUCCUAUAAUCCCGGGAGGACCACCAGUGGCGAAGGCUGUCGACUAGAACGCGCUCGACGGUGAGGGACGAAAGCUGGGGGAGCGAACCGGAUUAGAUACCCGGGUAGUCCCAGCUGUAAACGAUGCGGGCUAGGUGUUGGGGUGGCUACGUGCCACUUCAGUGCCGCAGGGAAGCCAUUAAGCCCGCCGCCUGGGGAGUACGGCCGCAAGGCUGAAACUUAAAGGAAUUGGCGGGGGAGCACCACAAGGCGUGAAGCUUGCGGUUCAAUUGGAUUCAACGCCGGA
rnacentral:rRNA from 1 species